rnacentral:rRNA from 1 species
GUCGUAGUCCGGAUUGGAGUCUGCAACUCGACUCCAUGAAGUCGGAAUCGCUAGUAAUCGUAGAUCAGAAUGCUACGGUGAAUACGUUCCCGGGCCUUGUACACACCGCCCGUCACACCAUGGGAGUGGGUUGCAAAAGAAGUAGGUAGCUUAACCUUCGGGAGGGCGCUUACCACUUUGUGAUUCAUGACUGGGGUGAAGUCGUAACAAGGUAACCGUAGGGGAACCUGCGGUUGGAUCACCUCCUUACCU